AGUUAGCAACGUAGGGUACAGAGGUAAGAUGUUCUAUCUUUCAGACCUUUUAUUUCACGUAAUUGAAUGUGGCUGAAUAGCGACCCCGGUGAGUCAUCAUCGGGGUGUUUUUUU
rfam:Aeromonas hydrophila subsp. hydrophila ATCC 7966, complete genome.